rnacentral:piRNA from 1 species
UGUCAGCUAUCAGCUUCUAGGGA